rnacentral:ncRNA from 2 species
GGACAGGACUCUGGAGAGACCCUUUUUUGGGCGCCGAAGGGGCAAUGACAAAAUCUUGUCUUAAAUCUCUCAGGCAAAAGGACAGAGAAGCAAUA